ACGACCUUACUUGAACAGGAUCUGUUCUAUAGGAUCGUACAAUUGACUCCUUGAGUGCAAAGGAGACAAGCAACAAACCCUGGUGGAUGAACCAUGGCCUCGAGAUCAGAGCGUGAUUAACGGCUCAGAUUCUUCGGAAUCAAAGCAGUAGAGGAUCGUUCACAACUCUCUUCGGAGUUGGGAUGGUCUCGAGGUUGUCUGACAGGGC